GCCAGGCUUGGUGGCACACACCUGUAAUCCCAGCAACUUGGGAAGCUGAGGCAGAAGGACUGCUAGUUUGAGGCCAGCCUCAGCAAUUUAGCAAGAUCCUGUCUUGA
rnacentral:sRNA from 1 species